GUGAAAAAAAAAACCCUCACCUCGCCAGAAAAAGUCAAUCGGAGUCCUCUCCCCACUCGCGUCAACUCCGCCGUACGCCCGCACUCCCACGCGGCCUAAGCAACCUCCUCCUCCUCCUCAAAUCCACCGCCCCAACCCCGGCUCAGCCUCGCCUCCUCCUCCCGCUCCUCCCACCUCCCCUGACCCGCACCCGGAGGCUAUGGGCGGUUCCUCCUCCAGCCGCCGCCGGCGGGACGACUACUACCCGCCCCCGCCGCCGCCCCUACACCACUACUCCAACUACCCGCCGCCCCCGCCGCCGCCGCCGCACCACGGGCCCUCCUCCUCCGCCGCCGCGUACUACUACAACCACCACCACCCGCCGCCCCCGCACGCGUACCACGGCCCGUGGCACCCCGCGCCCCAGCCGCCGCCGUCGCAGAUGCCCGCGCUCACCGGGCCCCCGCCCGAGUUCGUCGGCCACCAGCAGGCGCUCAAGGUGAAGAACGACAUCAACCUGCGCAAGGACACCAUCCGCCUCGUGCCCGACGCCGCCGACCCUGACCGCCGCCUCGUCUCCUUCACCUUCGACGCGGUCACCGACGGCAGUUUAGUUAUACAUUACUUUGCCAAGGAAGGAAAAGAUUGCAAUUUUUCUUCAGUGUACCCAGACUUGCAGACACCAACAAAGAUACCUUUCCAAAAAGGAUUGGCUCAAAAUUAUGUCCAGCCCUCUGGAUCUGGAAUUGAUCUGGGUUUCUUUUCUCUGGAUGAGCUUUCAAAUCCUUCAGAGGAAGUAUACCCACUGGUAGUUUAUGCGGAAGCUUCUCCAUCUCCAGAGGAAGGUGGUCAAACAGUAAACCCCACACGGGCACAAAUUACACUUGCUGUUAUAGAGAAACAUAACGACGAUCUUCAAGUCAAAGUUGUCAAGCAAAUAUUGUGGAUUAAUGGUGUGCGCUAUGAGCUGAAAGAAAUAUAUGGGAUUGUCAACUCCACGGAAGCUGAUGUUCCUGAUGCUGAUGAUGAUGGCAUGGGGAAAGAAUGUGUUAUCUGCCUGACAGAGCCAAGGGACACUGCUGUUUUUCCUUGCAGGCAUUUGUGUAUGUGCAGUGAAUGUGCACAAGCUCUAAGGCUCCAAUCAAAUAAAUGCCCCAUAUGCAGACAGCCUGUUGAGAAACUAAUGGAGAUCAAAGUUAGGAGUGCUGAGCCAUAAGGAAGAGUAUGCUGGGAAAUACCUUUGUUUCCUUCAAUUUGGUGGAUCUGAACUCGAAACUAUAUAUUAGGGGUGGAUCUUUUACUGUGCCAGUUAGGGGGUCAGAAGGGCUUGACAAAGCAAAUUACUUGUUUGCUCUCCAUGCUGAGGAUGUGUGAAUAAUAAGCUGAAAUGAUGGUGUAUGGGGCUUCAUCAGCUCCCUGAGUUUGUUUGUGUUUCUGCUUAGCGGGCAAAGUCUUUGGAGAAUUACGAGUAUGAAUUGUACAGUACAAAUGUAAAGCUGUGGCGGAGAUUGGGCAUACCCAAACAUGUAAAAGCAUCUAAAGCCUGUGAAUCCGUGUACAUAUUGGUGUGGAUUUUUUGCUGCUA